GACGAACGCUGGCGGCGUGCUUAACACAUGCAAGUCGAACGGAAAGGCCCUGCUUUUGUGGGGUGCUCGAGUGGCGAACGGGUGAGUAACACGUGAGUAACCUGCCCUUGACUUUGGGAUAACUUCAGGAAACUGGGGCUAAUACCGGAUAGGAGCCCCUGCUGCAUGGGGGGGGUUGGAAAGUUUCGGCGGUUGGGGAUGGACUCGCGGCUUAUCAGCUUGUUGGUGGGGUAGUGGCUUACCAAGGCUUUGACGGGUAGCCGGCCUGAGAGGGUGACCGGCCACAUUGGGACUGAGAUACGGCCCAGACUCCUACGGGAGGCAGCAGUGGGGAAUAUUGCACAAUGGGCGGAAGCCUGAUGCAGCAACGCCGCGUGCGGGAUGACGGCCUUCGGGUUGUAAACCGCUUUCGCCUGUGACGAAGCGUGAGUGACGGUAAUGGGUAAAGAAGCACCGGCUAACUACGUG
rnacentral:rRNA from 1 species